UACCAGCACCCCGAGUGGUCGGGACGAUUAUUGGGCCUAAAGCAUCCGUAGCCGGUCCUGCAAGUCUUCCGUUAAAUCCAGCUGCUCAACAGAUGGGCUGCGGAGGAUACUACAGGGCUAGGAGGCGGGAGAGGCAAGCGGUACUUUAUGGGUAGGGGUAAAAUCCGUUGUUCCAUAGAAGACCACCAGUGGCGAAGGCGGCUUGCCAGAACGCGCUCGACGGUGAGGGAUGAAAGCUGGGGGAGCAAACCGG
rnacentral:rRNA from 1 species